UAGUCUGAGAGGAUGAUCAGUCACACUGGAACUGGAACACGGUCCAGACUCCUACGGGAGGCAGCAGUGAGGAAUUUUGCGCAAUGGGGGCAACCCUGACGCAGCAACGCCGCGUGAGUGAAGAAGGCCUUUGGGUCGUAAAGCUCUGUCAACUGGGAAGAAGUUAUGAUGAUCUAAUAGGUGGUCAUAUUGACGGUACCAGUGGAGGAAGCGCCGGCUAACUCCGUGCCAGCAGCCGCGGUAACACGGGGGGCGCAAGCGUUAUUCGGAAUUGUUGGGCGUAAAGGGCGCGUAGGCGGUCUUGUCGGUCAGAUGUGAAAGCCCAGGGCUCAACCCUGGACGUGCAUUUGAAACAGCAAGACUUGAGUACGGGAGAGGAAAGCGGAAUUCCUGGUGUAGAGGUGAAAUUCGUAGAUAUCAGGAGGAACACCGAUGGCGAAGGCAGCUUUCUGGACCGAUACUGACGCUGAGGCGCGAAGGCGUGGGUAGCGAACAGGAUUAGAUACCCUGGUAGUCCACGCAGUAAACGAUGUUCACUCGGUGUGUCGGAUAUUAAAAUCUGAUGUGCCCAAGCUAACGCAUUAAGUGAACCGCCUGGGGAGUACGGUCGCAAGACUAAAACCCAAAGGAAUUGACGGGGGCCCGCACAAGCGGUGGAGCAUGUGGUUUAAUUCGACAACGCGAAGAACCUUACCUGGGUUUGACAUCCUGUGAACGUCCAAGAGAUUGGACAGUGCCUUCGGGAGCACAGUGACAGGUGCUGCAUGGCUGUCGUCAGCUCGUGUCGUGAGAUGUUUGGUUAAGUCCAGCAACGAGCGCAACCCUUAUCGUUAGUUGCCAGCACAUGAUGGUGGGAACUCUAACGAGACUGCCCGGGUUAACCGGGAGGAAGGUGGGGAUGACGUCAAGUCCUCAUGGCCCUUAUACCCAGGGCUACACACGUGCUACAAUGGUAAAUACAGAGGGCAGCGAACUCGCGAGAGUAAGCGAAUCCCUAAAGUUUAUCUCAGUCCGGAUUGGAGUCUGCAACUCGACUCCAUGAAGUUGGAAUCGCUAGUAAUCGCGGAUCAGCAUGCCGCGGUGAAUAUGUUCCCGGGCCUUGUACACACCGCCCGUCACACCAUGGGAGUUGAUUAUACCCGACGUCGCUGGGCUAACCAUUUAUGGGAGCAGGCGCCUAAGGUAUGGUUGAUAACUGGGGUGAAGUCGUAACAAGGUA
rnacentral:rRNA from 1 species